rnacentral:rRNA from 1 species
GAUGAACGCUGACAGAAUGCUUAACACAUGCAAGUCUUUGGCGAAGCUGUGCUUGCUCUGCCUAGCCAAGGCGGACGGGUGAGGAACGUGUAAGGAACUUGCCCUGCAGUCAGGGAUAACAGACGGAAACGACUGAUAAGACCUGGCAAAGUCAGGAGGACUCAUGUCAAGCCUGAUGAAAAGAGAUGCUGCAGGAUGGCCUUGCGUUCUAUUAGCGUGGUGUUGGGGUAACGGCCCACCAAGGGAAUGAUAGGGAGCCGGUCUGAGAGGGUGGACGGCCACAAGGGGACGGAGAUACGGGCAUUACUCCUUCGGGAGGCAGCAGAGGGGAAUAUUGGACAAUGGGGGCAACUCUGAUACAGCAAUUCUGUGUGAACGAUGAAGGUUUUAGGAUUGUAAAGUGCUUUCAGCAGGGAAGAAAAAAUGACGGUACCUGCAGAAGAAGCGACGGCUAAAUACGUG